rnacentral:rRNA from 1 species
UCGAACGGAAAGGCCCUUCGGGGUACUCGAGUGGCGAACGGGUGAGUAACACGUGGGUGAUCUGCCCUGCACUUUGGGAUAAGCCUGGGAAACUGGGUCUAAUACCGAAUACACCCUUCUGGCUGCAUGGUCUGGUUGGGGAAAGCUUUUGCGGUGUGGGAUGGGCCCGCGGCCUAUCAGCUUGUUGGUGAGGUUACGGCUCACCAAGGCGACGACGGGUAGCCGGCCUGAGAGGGUGACCGGCCACACUGGGACUGAGAUACGGCCCAGACUCCUACGGGAGGCAGCAGUGGGGAAUAUUGCACAAUGGGCGCAAGCCUGAUGCAGCGACGCCGCGUGAGGGAUGACGGCCUUCGGGUUGUAAACCUCUUUCGCCAGGGACGAAGCGCAAGUGACGGUACCUGGAGAAGAAGGACCGGCCAACUACGUGCCAGCAGCCGCGGUAAUACGUAGGGUCCGAGCGUUGUCCGGAAUUACUGGGCGUAAAGAGCUCGUAGGUGGUUUGUCGCGUUGUUCGUGAAAACUCACAGCUCAACUGUGGGCGUGCGGGCGAUACGGGCAGACUGGAGUACUGCAGGGGAGACUGGAAUUCCUGGUGUAGCGGUGGAAUGCGCAGAUAUCAGGAGGAACACCGGUGGCGAAGGCGGGUCUCUGGGCAGUAACUGACGCUGAGGAGCGAAAGCGUGGGGAGCGAACAGGAUUAGAUACCCUGGUAGUCCACGCCGUAAACGGUGGGUACUAGGUGUGGGUUUCCUUCCUUGGGAUCCGUGCCGUAGCUAACGCAUUAAGUACCCCGCCUGGGGGAGUACGCCGCCAGGGCUAAAACUCAAAGAAAUUGACGGGGGCCCGCACAAGCGGCGGAGCAUGUGGAUUAAUUCGAUGCAACGCGAAGAACCUUACCUGGGUUUGACAUGCACAGGACGUGCCUAGAGAUAGGUAUUCCCUUGUGGCCUGUGUGCAGGUGGUGCAUGGCUGUCGUCAGCUCGUGUCGUGAGAUGUUGGGUUAAGUCCCGCAACGAGCGCAACCCUUAUCUUAUGUUGCCAGCGCGUAAUGGCGGGGACUCGUGAGAGACUGCCGGGGUCAACUCGGAGGAAGGUGGGGAUGACGUCAAGUCAUCAUGCCCCUUAUGUCCAGGGCUUCACACAUGCUACAAUGGCCGGUACAAAGGGCUGCGAUGCCGUGAGGUGGAGCGAAUCCUUUCAAAGCCGGUCUCAGUUCGGAUCGGGGUCUGCAACUCGACCCCGUGAAGUCGGAGUCGCUAGUAAUCGCAGAUCAGCAACGCUGCGGUGAAUACGUUCCCGGGCCUUGUACACACCGCCCGUCACGUCAUGAAAGUACGGUAACACCCGAAGCCGGUGGUA